rnacentral:lncRNA from 1 species
UGAGAUUGUAGGAGAACUCCAGAAGUUUAGUUUAGUGGUAGAAGGUAGACUGUAAAUCAUGUUGAUUUCUAAGUAUUGAAAUAAGAUUAUACAUGGUGUAGACAAAUAUAUACUUUUAGUAUAUGUAUUUAUUUCCGUCUAUAUAGUUUUCUUCUAAAAGAAUUAUUAUAUACAGAAAUUCUGAGAGCCAUAAAUCUGGUUUUUCUAUAUAUACUAUGAUAUCUUUUGAAUAAAUCAAAAUUUCAAAAAAUAAGACCCAAAAGGAAAAAAGAAAAAUUGAAGCCCUAACCCGCGUCUCCUGGUUCGUCCUCCUCGGCGCAAGUACGCUUCUCCCUUCCGCUUCAUCUUCUUCCUUCGCACCUGCUUCCUUAGCGCAGUGACUCCUCGAUGCUUUUCGAUUGUGUAUUUGAAGUUCUCCUCUUUCUUUUUUAGGUAAAGCAACAAGAAGAGCUGCGAAGAUUCAAAUUAACAUGGUAAUUCUUUAUUUACUCAUGGAUCUCAGUUUUGAUUUAGUGCGCGCUUAUUUUAGACUGAAAUUAGUUGUUAAAAAUUCAGUCUGGAAGGAAAGAGACGGUGCUGGAUUUGGCAAANNNNN